rnacentral:rRNA from 1 species
UACGGGGGGGGCAAGCGUUGUCCGGAAUUAUUGGGCGUAAAGCGCGCGCAGGCGGUUUCUUAAGUCUGAUGUGAAAGCCCACGGCUCAACCGUGGAGGGUCAUUGGAAACUGGGAGACUUGAGUGCAGAAGAGAAGAGCGGAAUUCCACGUGUAGCGGUGAAAUGCGUAGAGAUGUGGAGGAACACCAGUGGCGAAGGCGGCUCUUUGGUCUGUAACUGACGCUGAGGCGCGAAAGCGUGGGGAUCAAACAGG